GUUAUCACGGGAGACACACGGCGGGUGCUAACGUCCGUCGUGAAGAGGGAAACAACCCAGACCGCCAGCUAAGGUCCCAAAGUCAUGGUUAAGUGGGAAACGAUGUGGGAAGGCCCAGACAGCCAGGAUGUUGGCUUAGAAGCAGCCAUCAUUUAAAGAAAGCGUAAUAGCUCACUGGUCGAGUCGGCCUGCGCGGAAGAUGUAACGGGGCUAAACCAUGCACCGAAGCUGCGGCAGCGAACGUAUCACUUAAAGCGAUUCAGCGGGUUACGAUUGACGGAGCGAAGCGACGUCAAAGCGUAUACAAAGUCGAGUCGGUUUAAGGAUACGUUCGUUGGGUAGGGGAGCGUUCUGUAAGCCUGUGAAGGUGGCCUGUGAGGGUUGCUGGAGGUAUCAGAAGUGCGAAUGCUGACAUAAGUAACGAUAAAGCGGGUGAAAAGCCCGCUCGCCGGAAGACCAAGGGUUCCUGUCCAACGUUAAUCGGGGCAGGGUGAGUCGACCCCUAAGGCGAGGCCGAAAGGCGUAGUCGAUGGGAAACGGGUUAAUAUUCCCGUACUUGGUGUUACUGCGAAGGGGGGACGG
rnacentral:rRNA from 1 species